UACAGAGGGUGCGAGCGUUGUCCGGAAUCACUGGGCGUAAAGGGCGCGUAGGUGGCCCGACAAGUCAAUGGUGAAAGUUCGACGCUUAACGUCGAAUCGGCCACUGAUACUGUUGGGCUGGAGCACUGUAGAGGCUCAUGGAAUUCCGGGUGUAGCGGUGGAAUGCGUAGAGAUCCGGAAGAACACCGGUGGCGAAGGCGGCUUCCUGGACCGACACUGACGCUGAGGCGCGAAAGCUAGGGGAGCAAACAGG
rnacentral:rRNA from 1 species